AAUCAGCGGUUGCCGCUGCCUAAGCCUCUCCCCAGGAAUCUGUGCCAUCCAAAUUGCUUGAUCCAGUGAAUCUGCUAGGAAAGGUCUCUGAGGCCCCCGUCUGCUGACUGCAUGACAAACCCUAAAGGAAAUGCCAAUCGUGAUGGCCCGGGACCUGGAGGAAACAGCAUCAUCCUCAGAGGAUGAGGAGGUCAUAAGUCAAGAGGAUCAUCCAUGCAUCAUGUGGACUGGAGGCUGCAGGAGAAUUCCAGUUUUGGUAUUCCAUGCCGACGCUAUUCUUACAAAGGACAACAAUAUUAGAGUAAUUGGAGAACGUUAUCAUUUGUCUUAUAAGAUUGUACGAACGGACAGUCGCCUAGUACGCAGCAUUCUGACAGCCCAUGGAUUUCAUGAAGUUCACCCAAGCAGCACUGACUAUAACCUAAUGUGGACAGGAUCCCACCUGAAGCCCUUCUUACUGCGCACCCUCUCUGAAGCACAAAAAGUUAAUCACUUUCCCAGGUCUUAUGAACUUACCCGGAAGGACCGACUGUACAAAAACAUUAUUCGAAUGCAGCAUACACAUGGAUUCAAGGCUUUUCACAUCCUCCCC
rnacentral:sRNA from 2 species